UACGUAGGGGGCAAGCGUUGUCCGGAAUUACUGGGCGUAAAGCGUGCGCAGGCGGUGAUGUAAGACCGAUGUGAAAUCCCCGGGCUUAACCUGGGAACUGCAUUGGUGACUGCAUUGCUGGAGUAUGGCAGAGGGGGGUGGAAUUCCACGUGUAGCAGUGAAAUGCGUAGAGAUGUGGAGGAACACCGAUGGCGAAGGCAGCCCCCUGGGCCAAUACUGACGCUCAUGCACGAAAGCGUGGGGAGCAAACAGG
rnacentral:rRNA from 1 species